rnacentral:rRNA from 1 species
GCGCGAAACCUCCACACUGCACGAAAGUGCGAUGGGGGGAUCCAACGUGCUCACGUCUAACGUGGGCUUUUGCCAAGACCAGAGACCUUGGCGAAUAAGGGGUGGGCAAGACCGGUGCCAGCCGCCGCGGUAACACCGGCGCCCCGAGUGGCACUCGCGAUUAUUGGGCCUAAAGCGUCCGUAGCCGGACAGGUAAAUCCGCUGUGAAAUCGUGCCGCUCAACGGUACGGCGCGCAGCGGACACUGCCAGUCUCGAGACCGGGAGGGGUCAGAGGUAUGCCGUGGGGACCGGUAAAAUGGGAUAAUCCACGGUAGACCACCGAUGGCGAAGGCAUCUGACCAGAACGGAUCUGACGGUGAGGGACGAAAGCCAGGGGAGCGAACCGG